rnacentral:rRNA from 1 species
AUGGCGGACAAGAUCUCCACGGUUGUCCUCAAAGUUGACCUUGAAUGCGCGCGAUGCUACAGGAAGAUGAGGACGGUCCUCUGCAAGAUCCAAGACAAGAUGAACAUCAAGACCAUCUCCUUCGACGAGAAGAGCAACGCCGUGACGGUGUCCGGGCCGUUCGACCCUGACAAGCUGUGCCGGAAGCUCUGCUGCGAGGCCGGCCGGGUGAUCAAGGAGAUGCACGUCAACGGCAGGGAACAGAAGGCGGACAAGGACGGCGGCGGCGAGAAGCAGAAGGCGCCCAAGGACGGCGGCAAGGCCGAGAAGGACGGUGGGAAGGCGGAGAAGCCCAAGGACAGCGGCGGGAAGGCGGACAAGGAGAAGCCCAAGGAUGGCGGCGGGAAGGCGGACAAGGAGAAGCCCAAGGACGCCGCGGCCGCCAAGCCGGAGAAGAAGGUCAAGUUCGACGACGCGCCGCCGGCCACGGACGCCAAGCCCGGCAAGGCCAUGCCGCCGCUGCCGCCCGGCAUGAGCAUGGCCGACCUCGGCCCGCUCCUGGAGAAGAUGAAGCAGGCCAAGCAGCAGCAGGGCGGGGGCGGGGGCGGGCCCCAGCCGCCGCGCGGCGAGCCGAUGAUGGCACCGCCCGUGGCCGCGCAGGGGGUGGCCGUGCCGUCCAUCUGGCCGGCGCCGGCCGGUCCCAUGUCCUACAGCUACGACCCGACGCCGUACGGCCAGCCGUCGUACUACGGCGGGGGCUGCGGCGGCGGGUGCGGCGGGGGGUGCCAGUGCUGCAGGCCGCCCGUGCCGGCCGGCGGGUACUACGGCGUGCCGGUGCACGACCACCAGGGGUGGUACCACGGCAACCGGCAGCCGUACUACCAGCAGCAGCAGCCGUACUGCGGCGAGGACCCCAACGCCGGGUGCAGCGUCAUGUGA